rnacentral:sRNA from 1 species
CUGGUCCAUGCAGGAGGACGGGCUGCUUGUGCUGUGCCGCAUUGCCAGCAAUGUCCUCAACACCAAGGUGAAGGGCCCAUUUGUCACCUGGCAGGUGGUACGGGACAUUUUGCAUGCCACGUUUGAAGAGUCUUUGGAUAAAACAUCUCAUUCUGUUGGACGAAGAGCUCGCUACAUAGUCAAAAACCCACAGGCCUAUCUCAACUAUAAGUCAGCCCAUAUGGCCCUGGCCAAACCCCUGUAAGAGACAGUUUGGGACUCAGUGUUCUCGGUUACCCAUGAAGGACGGAAGUUCAGAGAAGCCAAGGUGUAAAGUGUGAACAGACCUGACUGAGGUCAGGCUUGGCUGACCCCAAAUCCUUCAUUCGUAAAAGCUUCAGUCAUGCAACAGGCAUAUAAGUAACUCAUGCUUCAAGGUCAGCCAAGGCCAGAAACAUGAGAAUGGAGCUCUCUGAAGGUUCCGAACAUGGGCAUCAGUGCAAUUCCCAGACUCCAGCUUUGUCUC